rnacentral:lncRNA from 1 species
CCGGACUUGAGUAGUAACAUUCCUUGAUCAGGACGUUGCUAUAGGUAGAAUGCAUAGUAGUCCAACAACGUUACGUAUUUCCUGCUGUUUGUACCUCCUUUUGUUUUCUUGUAGGGUAUCUCAAGUUUAAAACCAUCUUCUCCAUAUGGGAACAACAACGGAUAUUGCAUGGACAUGAAUUUCGGGUGGAUCUCUGAUAUCCUUUGCAGCUCCAUAUUUUUGUACUCAACAACAAUGUCACGUCCUUCACUCUCUCUGGUUGGAUCUCUUACUACCAAUGCUGCAACUUCAGAUGCGGAUGGAAGGUUGUGUGUUCCAUUCCUUUUGCCUAGUAUCCGAAGUGUGUAAUCAUGGUAGUCUCCUUCUUGGAAUCUAUCUCUUGCCAUUCUGAAGGUUUUUGCGAGGAUGUUGUUGUCGUCGAGCAUUAUUUUCAGUUCUUUGACGAUGUUGGGGUCCACUGUUGAUUUUUUAUCAUUGCAUCUUGACGCACUUAUCCUGUUUUCCACCUCAUUUUUGGUAUUACAGAUGUAUAGCUGUGCAAACCGAGGUUUGUCUGUACCUUGAGGCAAAAGAGUUCCGAUAUGGUGGUAGUUUUGUCCAUGCAAACGAAAAACAUAAGGUCCUUUGCGAGUGUUUAUUUCCUUGUCCACAGCUCCUCCCAUCGAUGUGAAUGAAAACAUUGAGUUGUAUGACCUUAUAUUUUCUUUGAAGUUUACCGAAUCCUGCCCUUCACUUCUUAAGAGGUUUCUAAGGUAUGGUGGAGGUUCUCUUAGUGGCGGCAGAUCGAUUUUCCCUUGUUUGCAGCAUAUUCCAAAAGAGGGUGCCGUAGUUCCUUUGUUUGAAUUUAAUCUUUCUUCACACCAUAGCAAUGCUUUGCAAUAUUGGCAUUUGUAUGUUGGCCUUCCGAAGUUCCAUGGCUUGCUAUUAGAACUUGUCGAGGUUCUGGUUCUGUUGUUGUCUCCAACAUUGACUCUAGUGUUGUUUUUGUUGGUUUCGCUUUUGGCGCGCUUCAAUUCCCUAUCUUCUUCAGCAUUAGCCUUUCUCAAUCAUUUAGGAGCCUCUUGUCCAGACCCCGACUCGAUGACACAUCGAUCUAGCCUAUAACACCUCAUAUCACUUUGCGGCCUCACGCACGGUAUCCCCACGGGUGUCGCCUUACCUUUGCCCGGGACCGUUUGCGCCUUUUGGCUCACGUAUAUGAUAGUGUUGCUAGCAUCCAUAUGUUAAGGAGCCCGGGCUGACAUGACUAGUUGUAAACCCAAAGUGGCACAGACUUACAGGGACAUGCAUCCAUGACCCAGCUUCGAACGUGUUGGUCAUCAGCAAGAGGGUCCGGGCUGUAGCACUGGGCUAGCAGGACUCCGGUAAACCGGGCUGUAGCGGGCUAACAGGACUCCGGUACUCAAUGCGUGACAUUUCCCCGAAGGGACAGACACCGGAACGAAGGACACAUGCCGGCCAGCCUAAGUGUUCCAGAGCAGUAGCAAGCUGCCAUGGCUCAGUGGUAACACUAGGAGACAUUUCCUGGUAAGAGAGGCUACUAAAGAUAAACAACUAGAUAGUCAGAUCCCACACAUACCAAGCAUUUCAAUAACAUACACAUAGUAUGCUCGAUAUGUGCAAAUACAACAUGGCAUCACAACAUGACUCUACGACACAAGUACUUUAUUUAAGGCUCAGGGAACCAUACAUAAUCAUACACACAGGUACGGGUCACACGACCCAGCAUUCAAGUCAUACAGUCAUACAAACCAGCAGCGGAAGUAACUUGUCUGAGUACAGACAACUAGUAAAAUAAAAGAGGCUUGGAAAGCCUAGCUAUACUACGUGGUCCUUCACAAGCUCAGGAUCACCACCUGGGCCUUAGCCUACUCAUUGAUGUCAACGUCUAUGUAGAACCCAUCAGAAGGGGUUGCAGCGUCUUCUGUAAAAAAUGUAAAUUAUAGCAACAUGAGUACAAAGGUACUCAGCAAGACUUACAUCAGAUCCUACAUACAUGCAUAUUAUCAAGAAGGGUUGGUGGAGUUGUUGCAGCAAGCCAGCUUUGACUCUUGGCUAGGCUAACCUACGAGACUCCAACUUGAAAUGGUUUUGCGUACACGAGUCCACUACUCACCAAUUCAAUACACUACCGAGGAUCCACCUCCAUCUUCCUACGGAAGAGCCAUCCUCGGCACUCACACUUAUCUUGAGGCUUUUAGUAGUUUCCGUUUACUUGUCUAUGAACUGUAUAGGCAACCAAGUAGUCCUUUACCGCGGACGCGGCUAUUCGAAUAGAUCAUGAUAACCCUGCAGGGGUGUACUUCUUCAUACAUGUUUCCACCACUUAGCGUCUGCACACAACAUGUGCUCGGCAGACUUCAAGCGAAAGCCGACGUGGGUGUAGACCACGACCUACCUAAACACCUAAGCCUCUAGUCCAGGUUUAUCGCCUAUCCAGGUUCCAUCGGCAGGGAGUCCGGCCGAGGUUUCCCAUACGGCCCCGAACGAUGUGAACAGGGUUCCCGAGAUACCUAACAGGUAUUUGGUACACCCGGCCACGUACCUACCGCAUCACAGCCCACCCCUACGGUCAGCGCUGUCCACGGCCUCCAGUAGGCUACAAACACCAGAAACUACUUGCAACUCCUGGACAGAGAUCUAGGGUGAAUAAGAAGUCGAGCGGGGUCAUAUUUCAGGGCCCAAUGCAUGGUAGUAGCUGUAUCUUAAAUCACACAUACAGAUCUCAGUGCUUAAGGUCGGCUUCAAUGAAACAACCCACCAUGUACUCCUACAUGGCCUCUCAUCGAUACCUUUACCAAAUCGUGUUCACCACACCACUCUCAUUACCGACAUAAUCAUUUCACUCUAGCCCAUCACCCAGAUGAACCAGACCUGACAUGACUCUAAGCAUAGCAGGCAUAGCAAGGUAGGAACAACACAUACAUAUGGCUCACUCAACUCCUACACAUGCUAGUGGGUUUCAUCUAGUUACUGUGGCAAUGACAGGUCAUGCAGAGGAAAUGGGUUCAACUACCGUAGCACACAACAGUUUGAAACGCGUUGUCUUAAUGCAGUAAAAGAGAGCAGGAGGGAGAACAUGGGAUUGUAUCGAUAUGAUCAAAUGGUUGGUUGCUUGCCUGAUGGUUCGAUGCACUGAUACGGUUCUUCGUUAGGGUAAUCACGGUACUCCUCGGAGGCAGAACCUGCCGCAAAGAACACCGAUACACAACCAUCACCAAACAAUGUGCAACAAUAUGAUGCAUGCAUGAAACAUAGCAAUAUGAGUGUGUUGGGCUAAUGCAACUAAGACCAGAAGGGUUUGAACCAAUUUGAAUCAAAGAUUCAAAUUUCAAACUCAAACAUGGCCCUUUAAAGUGUUUUUCCUUGUUCUGCAUUAAACAUCAGGUUAACUUGUUUAAUCAUGCAUGAAAAUAGUACAGAUGGAUAGAUUGGAUUUUUUCUGAUCAUUUUUCAUAUAUAAUUUGUCUGAUUUGGAGUUACAGAAUAAAAGUUAUGAAUUUUUAAAGUUUAAACUAUAUUCUAGAAUUUCCUAUAUUAGAUUAAUUCCAGAAAAUCAAUUAUUGCGUCAGCCUGACGUCAGUGUGACGUUAGCAGGUCAACGGGACACGUCCGGGUCAAACCUGACAGUGGGUCCCGCGUGUCAGUGUGAUUAGAUUAAUUAAAGUUUAAUUAAAACUAAACCUGUUUAAUUAACAGGGCUGGGCCCCACCUGUCAUAGACUCAGGGGAGUCAACCAGGGCCCACCCGUGGUCAAACCCGGGUCGGCUGCAUCGGCGUUUAGCCGCCGGCGAGCCCGACGCGGCGGCGGAAGUGGUUUUGGCUGUUUCGGCCACCAAAUGGGUCGCGGAGACCACCGGAGUGGAGCUGAGGACGAGCCGCAACUCUUGGUGGAGUCCGUUGGGGUCGGGGUGGCCGGAGUUGGCGCCGGCGACGACUUUGGCAGCCACCGGGGUUCGGCCAAAGACGAACUUGACGCUAGAGGGGUCGGUGAGGCGCGGGGAGUAGCUAGCUAGGUGCUACGUGACGCGGUGAGCAUGAUGGACACCGUGGAGUGGUCGGAGGGUGACCGGGAGCACGUCGGCGACGAGCUCCACGGUGGUGGGUGCGGUUGAGCUCCGGGAGGUCGCUACACAGCUCGGGAGCAAGAAAAGGAGGGGGGAAGAUGGCUAAGCUCACAGUGAGUGCGACGAAGCCCUUGCUGCGGCCGGGGAUGGACCGGAGCGACGACGGCAUCGAAGGGGAUCUCCGGCGACGGCGGUUUGGGCGAGGUCGUUGCGGUGGACUCGGGCGUUGCGAGCGCUCGGGGCUCGGCUUGCUCGAUGAAGUGGACAGCGGCGGAGCUCCUGGACACGAUGAGAGGACGCACGGGCGGCGGGGAGCACGGCUACGAUGUAGGCACGGCGGUGGUGGCGUCGGUCAUGGCGGGGGAGCGCGAGGGGGAGGAGCUGGAGAGGAGAGGGGGUGUCUGGGGGGUUCGGGGGAGAGAGGGAGGCUGAUCCACGACGUCACCGGGCGAGGGGAGCGGCGAGGCGGCGAGCAGGUGCGUGGCGCGCGCUGCGGUCGCCGUCGGGCACCUGCCUGCCUGCCUGGCCGGCAAGCAGCUCGCUGGAGCGGCGCUGGGCUGGGCCGGUAGGUGGGCCGGGAGCUGGCGUCGGGUAAGUUUUUCCAUUUUUUCUGUUUUUUGUAUUUUUUAAUACUUCUACAACUUUGUUGAAUUAAAUAAAAUACUUAGGCAACUCCUAAAAUCACCAAACUACUCCUGGUCCAUAGUUGGAUUAUUUCCAACAUGAAACAUUUUAGUUUGGAGAUAUUUGAGCAUUUAAAUAUUUUAUAUAAUUUUAAAUGCCCAAAUUCAAAUAUUUAUGAUUUAAUUCAAAAACCCUAAGAUGGCCUAGGAAAAUGUGCAUCACUUUUGGCAGAGGUUCUGAACCAAGACAAAAAUGAUGGGCAUUUUAGAAGGGCAUUUCAGGUUCAUUGAAAAAGUUUUUAGUAAACCCUAAUUGGUUUCAGAGGGGACUGGGGUUCUGUCAUCCCCAUUUCAGGUUUCUGAUGAAAGAAUAAACAUGAUGCAACACUCUAAUGCAUGAACUAGCUAGGGUGUGACAUGUGUACGCAUUUCUUCUUCCCUCUGCAGUCCUUGUCCGUUUUGUACUCCUUGAGUUUAGAGGUUGUUCUUUCUUUCUUUUUGUCUGGUGAGCUGCUGGGUCUAACGUAUGUUGGACUCUCAUAUCUGCAAAUGUGAUUUUGUUAGUGCGUAUAGUUUCCUUAACAUAGUAUCAUGUAAUAUGAUUUAUUUUGUAAUCCCUCCGUAAAGAAAUAUAAGAGCGUUUAGAUUACUAAAGUAGUGAUCUAAACACUCUUAUAUCUCUAUAGAGAGAGUACUUAAUAGUGUUUUGCUUUUGCAGGCAUGCAAGUGCAUUUGGUGAUGACUACUAAUGGACGUUGUCACAUACAGUACAUCUGGAGAUUAAUGUUGUUUAUCUGGUAGGGAACUAAAAAUCAAUAAUUGUUCAACCAUGUUGCUCUUUUUGUAGCUUUCACAUUAUUAUCAUGGUAGUGUUAGGAUGCAUGAAAAAAGAGCUUUAUAGUUCAGUAUGAGAAGAGUUUUGACGCAAUGUUGAGCUGAGAUCAAAAUGCAGGCACACACAUGAAGAAUUGCAUCGGGAUAUUACCUGAGGCCGAUGGUGCUGAUGUUGUGUCUUCAGUUCAUUGGACGUUUCUUUGUGCCUGUGAUCGUUUGGGUGUCGUCGGCGUAUAUUGGAUGCAAGUUGCUGGAGUUGUUGCCAUACCUUCAAUUUGUCAGCCGUCUCGUGUGUUUGAUCUUCCCGACAUCAUGAAAAAGUAGCUAUUGAGAAAGUACAUCAUGGGUCAUUUAUGAAUGUAUGUCUUGUAAAAUUAUGGUUGAAUGAUGUUUAUGUGAUAUAAGCAGAGGGAUGAGUGUAUGUGACCAUACCUCUUGUUUGUUUUCUGAGACUAUGAUCUAGCAAUUUGACUAAUGUAGAUCACCUGAGGAGAAAGUUUUUGUGAGAAUAUGUUGGCUGAUAAGGAAGCUAAAAUAAUGCACGGAUUAAAGAGAGAAAAUAUAUAAUACCCUGGAACCUUUGCCUGCUUAGUCGUCGAGUUGCUUCGAAUUUGAGAAGACGGAUCAGUCGGCGAUGAGGCUUGUUGUGCUAGUAGGACGUGAUAUGAUGCACUUUAUAUAAUGAUAUGGUUAGAUGUUUUCCAAGACAUGUAGGAUUAGGAAUCAUGUAGUGAGUCAAAAUGUAGUGAGUCAAAAUCGGAC